UACUUCUCAGAACGGGCAGACCCACGUCUUCUGCUGUGAUCGCCCUCUGUGGUGGCCUCCGGGUGGGAGCCCGGACACUAAUGGAGGUUGGCCCUGGAGCUGAUUUAAGGAUUCUUUGGUAGUCACAGAUAUAUAGUUGCCUCUGUAUGUUUGGCACAUGAAAACCAAUAAUGGACAUACCCAAGCUGAUUUAAGCUUUGGUCAGUGAUCUGUAUGGUUGACUCCUUGUAUAGGAGCAUGGAGACCCAUGUGAGUAACGGUCCAUUGUUGUCAUCUUGGUUUGAGUAGUUUGUUUAGAGUAUCUGGUGUAAUAUUAAAACAAGUAUUAAAUAUAAGAAGAAAGACCGGCC